rnacentral:tRNA from 1 species
GCGCCAGUGGUGUAAUGACGUAGAGCAUUCCAGUCCGCUCAGCAGAAAGUGCGGGUUCGAGUCCCGCCUGGCGCU